AAAAGAUCAAUGCUAUUAAUCUUCCUAAGAUCCACCAAUAUAUAGUUAGCAACUCCUUAUUGGUUAUUUUUUAAUCAGUGAUUUCGCUGCUGUGUUUUUUUAUCUUUAAUUAAUCAAUUUGUUAAAUGUUAGUUACUUCUUAUAUGAAUUUCAACAUAAUUAUUAACUAAAAUAAAGGAAAAUAAAAAUCAUGUAUAUAUUAAACCAAAAAAAAGAAUGAAUCCCUUAUAAUAUAUAAAUGAUUUUGAUAUUAAAAUUAAAGAAAAAAAAUGGUGAAUUCUUCCUCUUCGUAUAGUUCACAAUAAACAUAGCUUUUACAUCUUAUAAUUAAAAUUGAGUACGAUUAGGGUUUAGGUUCGAUAUCGAAGGGUUUUAGGGAAGAAGAAUGGGGAAAGAUGGAUAUCUAUGGGACGAUUCAGCUCUCAUCAACGCCUUCGACAAUGCUCUCUCUACUUACAAGAAAAUGCACUCCCCCUCCAAAAACAAUGACACCUCUAUUCAAGAAUCAGAGCAAGUAAUCCAAGAAAACUACUCAAACGCUGAAAUUGCAAAUACCACAAGGGAUGUUGAAGAGAAAAGUAAUGUUCACGCUACCGAUUCAAUUGAAACUAGUUAUGUUUCAAAUUUGGAAGAAAAUUACCAACCUUGUUUAGAUUCUAAAAAUGGGCAAGGUUUUGAUGAUUAUAAUCAGUUGAUUGCUCAGUACUAUGAACUUGAAGAGAAAAGGUUGAAGAUUUUGGAUCAAAUUAAUCAAUAUGGUGAUUUGAAUCACCAAUAUGCAGCUACUGCAUCGAAUUCCGGUGUACAGUAUUCUAAUGCUCAAGAUUAUUCGAUGUAUACGCCCCAAGUUGAAGUUUCUGAUCCGAAUGUUGUAUGUUCUUGUUGUCCGUGUUUUAGUCAAUGUGCUUUGGAUGCGUGUGCAUCGGUUCCUGGAUGUUCUGUCGGUGGACCGUGUGCUGGUAAACCUUGUAAUGAUUAUACUGCGGAAAAGGGUAGUAAAAUGUUGAUUCCUUGUGAAGAUGGUAAAAUUCACGAAAUGGCAAUGGGAGCAGUAGAGAGGGCACUUUCUACCAUAAGAACAACAAUUUCUGGAGAUUUUGAUGUAAAUGAAGUGGUUUUACACAAUGGCUUUACUAAGUACAAAGAUAUUCUUGGGUGCAUAUGAUACACUCCUAAUUGUUAUAUGUGUUUACUCCAUGCAAUUCAGAGAAAGAGAAAAAGAAUUACGAACAAGUUAGUGACUCAGGAACGGAUCUUAAUGCUGUUCUGACUGCUUGGUAUUCAGCUGGCUUCUUUACUGGGAAGUAUCUUGUUGAACAAUCUAUUGAAAAUAGAAGACAGAAAUAAACUCCUUGAUGCUAGAUCUUCAAGUGGAUGCAAAAGGGUUCCCGACCAUAUAUUUGAAAGAGUUAGUUAAUUGAUCUACAUACUUACAUCUUCGCAAAAUCGAGAGAAUGACAGUAUUCUGGUAUAACUGGCUAAUUACAAAUUUUGGUGUCUUGGUACAAAUCUGUAACAUGGUCUUACUGGACAAUUUUAGGGAAUAUUUUUGCUAUCCGCUGUGGACAUGAAUUUGUUACCCAACUUUGGUGUUGAAUGCAUAAAUCAUUUGGUAGAUUUCUUUGUACUUUCAUUUUCAUAAUUGGCAUUAGUGAUGGUCAUGAAGUGAAUCACUAAAUUGGUCCCUCAAA